GCCUGGGUAGCUCAGUCAGUUAAGUGUCUGAUUUUGGCUCAGGUCAUGAUCUCAUGGUUUGUGGGUUCAAGCCCCAUAUCAGGCU
rnacentral:tRNA from 1 species